AACGAACGCUGGCGGCAGGCUUAACACAUGCAAGUCGAGCGCCCCGCAAGGGGAGCGGCAGACGGGUGAGUAACGCGUGGGAAUCUACCCUGAUCUGCGGAAUAGCUCCGGGAAACUGGAAUUAAUACCGCAUGUGCCCUGAGGGGCAAAGAUUUAUCGGUUCAGGAUGAGCCCGCGUCCGAUUAGCUAGUUGGUGGGGUAAUGGCCUACCAAGGCGACGAUCGGUAGCUGGUCUAAGAGGAGGAUCAGCCACAUUGGGACUGAGACACGGCCCAAACUCCUACGGGAGGCAGCAGUGGGGAAUACUGGACAAUGGGCGCAGGCCUGAUCCAGCCAUGCCGCGUGAGUGAUGAAGGCCCUAGGGUUGUAAAGCUCUUUCAGUGGGGACGAUAAUGACGGUACCCACAGAAGAAGCCCCGGCUAACUUCGUGCCAGCCGCCGCGGUAA
rnacentral:rRNA from 1 species